CCUACGGGUGACAGCAGUGGGGGAUAUUGCACAAUGGUGGGAACCCUGAUGCAGCGACGCCGCGUGGGUGAAGAAGCUCCUCGGUACGUAAAGCCCUGUCAGCAGGGAAGAAAAUGACGGUACCUGAAGCAGAAGCCCUGGCUAACUACGUGCCAGCAGCCGCGGUAAUACGUAGGGGGCCAGCGUUAUCCGGAUUUACUGGGUGUAAAGGGGGCGCAGACGGCGCUGCAAGUCAGGAGUGAAAGCCCGGGGCCGAACCCCGGGACUGCUCUUGAAACUGCGGGGCUGGAGUGCAGGAGGGGGAGGCGGAAUGCCUGGUGUAGCGGUGAAAUGCGUAGAUAUCAGGAGGAACACCGGUGGCGAAGGCGGCAUGCUGGACUGCAACUGACGUUGAGGCCCGAAAGCGUGGGGAGCAAACAGGAUUAGAUACCCUGGUAGUC
rnacentral:rRNA from 1 species